rnacentral:rRNA from 1 species
GAUGAACGCUGGCGGCAUGCCUAAUACAUGCAAGUCGAACGAGAGGAAGGAAAGCUUGCUUUUCUGAAUCUAGUGGCGAACGGGUGAGUAACACGUAGGUAACCUGCCCAUGUGCCCGGGAUAACUUCUGGAAACGGAUGCUAAAACCGGAUAGGUAGCAGACAAGCAUUUGACUGCCAUUAAAGUGGCUAAGGCCAUGAACAUGGAUGGACCUGCGGUGCAUUAGCGAGUUGGUGAGGUAACGGCCCACCAAGGCGACGAUGCAUAGCCGGCCUGAGAGGGCGAACGGCCACAUUGGGACUGAGACACGGCCCAAACUCCUACGGGAGGCAGCAGUAGGGAAUUUUCGUCAAUGGGGGGAACCCUGAACGAGCAAUGCCGCGUGAGUGAGGAAGGUCUUCGGAUCGUAAAGCUCUGUUGUAAGAGAAAAACGACAUUCAUAGGGAAUGAUGAGUGAGUGAUGGUAUCUUACCAGAAAGUCACGGCUAACUACGUGCCAGCCGCCGCGGUAA